rnacentral:rRNA from 1 species
CCUUAAGACUAUCACCACGAGUGCACCUGCUCACAGAAGCUAUGCAGAGUCUGGCAUGGUUAAUACUUGCAUAAGAGACCACCUGGGAACACUAGGGCCUUUAAGC